CAGAGUAUCAUGCCCUCACGGGUAGAUCUCCACCCUGUGUUAUAAGUUACCUUUGUUGCUUUGGCGGGUCGCCGGUUCGCCGGCUCCUGGGUCCCCUAGGACGUACCCGCCAAGGAACUUUACAAACUCUGUGUUAAGUGUCGUCUGAGUACUAUAAUAAUAGUUA
rnacentral:misc_RNA from 1 species